AUGGCCUCUUGGUGCAAACUCGGUCUCCUCCUCUUGCUCCAGAGUCUGAGCCCCUCUGCCGCCGCGGCAGGCUCUAUCUCGCUCUCCGUGGGAGAAUCUAUCACCGGGAACCGGACGCUGGUUUCGGAGGGAGGCAAGUUUGAGCUGGGCUUCUUCUCCCCGGCCGGCGACUCCAACUACUACGUUGGCAUAUGGUACAAGAAGAUCCCGGUGCAGACCGUCAUUUGGGUGAUGAACAGGGACCGCCCUGUCUCCGACCCAUCGUCCUCGGAGCUGACGCUAGCUCCGGACGGCAAGCUCGUCCUCCUCCUAAACGAGAACCAGCAGAAGAGGCCAGUCUGGUCGUCGGCUAGUCACGCACGUACGAGCAACGGGCCCGUCGUGGCGGCGCUCCUCGACAGCGGGAACCUCGUUCUGCGGGGCCGCCAGCCGGGCAACUCGUCGGAGGUCAUGUGGCAGAGCUUCGAGCACCCGACCGACACGCUCGUGCCGGGCGGCUGGGUCGGGCUGAACAAGAGCAGCGGCGCGUACCAGGCGCUCGUGUCAUGGAGAAGCGCUGUCGACCCAUCCACGGGAUUGUACAUGGACUGGGUCGACCCGUCCGGGUCCGGCCAGUACACCUUCUCGUGGAACGGCACGACCGUGUACCACCGCGUCGGCGCGUCGAGCGGCCAGCGCUUCGCCUCCGUGCCGGAGAUGGGCAUGUCGUCUAGGUACAAGUACACCUCCGUCAACAAUGAUGAGGAGGUCAGCUUCUCCUUUGAGGUGGUCAACCCCUCUACCCUGUCGAGGAUGGUGAUGAGCCCGCACGGGCAGCUCACCAUGUUCGACUGGUCCAGCGAGUCCGGGCAGUGGCUGCUCCACUGGGCGACUCCCACGUCGCCAUGCGACGUGUAUUCCGUGUGCGGGCCCUUCGGGCUGUGCGACGUGGCAAGCUCGCAGUACUGCCGGUGCUUGCCGGCGUUCGACGCCGCGUCGCCGGGGGAUUGGACCGGCGGCUGCGCGAGGAAGACGAGCUUGUACUGCAGCAAUGGCACGUCGCCCGAUGGGUUCCUUCCGGUACAAAACGUGAAGCUGCCAAGCAGUUAUUUCUCCGAUGCUGAUGCUGCCGGUAGCUCCGGAGAUUGCGGGUCGGCGUGCUUGAGAAACUGCUCUUGCACGGCGUAUGCGUACAGUGGUGGUGGUUGCUUGGUGUGGGGUGGUGAUCUCAGGAACAUUCAGCAGGUCACCGACGGCGAAGCCGGCUCGUCCACUCUGUUCCUCCGAGUCGCCGCCGCCGAUCUUGCUGCCGCCAGUAACCAUGGCGGCGCGUCAGCAAAUGAACGCGACGUCAUCCUGGUCGCGUCUUCGGUAUCUUUUCUCACGAUACUCUGCUUGUUCGUCUUCGUUUGCUGGAGGCAUCGUCGCUUGAAAACUGUGCGGCACGACGGCUCUCUUUUGGUGUUCAGCCACGGCCAUCUGGCGCGGUGCACGGACAACUUCUCCCAGAAGCUGGGCAUGGGGAGCUUCGGCUCCGUGUACAAGGGGACGCUCCGUGACGGUGACCACACCGCGGUGGCCGUCAAGAGGCUCGAGGGAUCGGCGCAGGGGGAGAAGCAGUUCCGCGCCGAGGUGAGGACCCUCGGCACGAUCCACCACGUCAAUCUCGUGCGCCUUCGCGGGUUCUGCGCGACGAGGCGCGAGCGGCUGCUGGUGUACGACUACAUGCCCAACGGCUCCCUGGCGUCCGCCAUGGCCGGCCCGAGCUUCGGGCUGCUGGACUGGGGCACCAGGUUUGGGAUCAUGGCCGGCGUCGCCAGGGGCCUCGCCUACCUCCACGAGCAGUGCCAGGAGCGCAUCGUGCACUGCGAUGUGAAGCCGGAGAACAUACUCCUGGACGCGGCCUUCCACCCCAAGGUGGCCGACUUCGGCAUGGCGAAGCUCAUCGGGCGGGACUUCAGCCACGCGCUGACCACGGCGCGGGGCACGGUGGGGUACCUGGCGCCGGAGUGGGUCCAGGGCCUGCCCAUCACGCCCAAGGCGGACGUGUACAGCUACGGCAUGACGCUGCUGGAGCUCGUUUCCGGGCGGAGGAACCGGGACGCCGGCGGCCGCGGCGCGGGCCACUUCCCGCUCUGGGCGGCCACCAAGGUCAGCGAGGGGCAGUUUGUCGCGCUCUUGGACGAGAGGCUGGCGGGGGACGCGGACGUGGUCGAGCUGGGCCGGGCGUGCAGCGUCGCGUGCUGGUGCAUACAGCAGAGCGAGGCGAUGAGGCCGACCAUGGGGCAGGUGGUGCAGGUUCUGGAGGGGUCGCUCAUGGUGGGGGCUGCGCCCGUGCCCAGACACCUGGAGGUGUUCUGUGCGGAGGAUUCACGCACGCUCUGA
rnacentral:rRNA from 1 species